rnacentral:lncRNA from 1 species
GAAGGCCAGAGGAGGCAGGAGAGAAAAAAGGAGAGAAACCCCUGUUCUGGAAGCUUCCUGGGCAUGCCGGGUGGUCAGCACCCCUUCAAAGGCCUUCCUCACCCCGACAGCUUUGGGGUCCAAGACACCCACCAUCAGCUUGUGCCCUCGAUGUUCCGGUGAAGUAUACUUGUAAGAGAAACUGUGAUUUGGAUGUCAUCAUUUUACUUUAUUUUUAUUUUUUGAGAUGGAGUCUCGCUCUGUCACCCAGGCUGGAGUGCAGUGGCACAAUCUCAGCUCACUGCAAGCUCCACCUCCUGGGUUCAAGCGAUUCUCCCACCUCAGCCUCCCGAGUAGCUGGGACCACAGGCGUGCACCACCAAACUUGGCUAAUUUUUGUAUUUUUAGUAGAAAUGGGGUUUCAACAUGAUGGCCAGGCUGGCCUCGAACUCCUGACCUCAAGUGAUAUGCCCACCUCAGCCUCCCAAAGUGCUGGGAUUACAGGCAUGAGCCUCUGCGCCCAGCUGGAUGUCAUCAUUUUAAUAAUUUACCCCAAAUGGCCAUCGUCAUGGGUGGGAUGGUCCCAAGGGUUUACAUGGAUUGCAGACUCAAAAAUCUGGAUGAAAGAAAAUGUGAUACACACACACACGCCAUGCAAUACUACUCAGCCAUAAAAAAGAACGAAAUAAAGUAUUUUGCAGCAACUUGGAUGGAACUGGAGGCCAUUAUCCUAAGUGAAGUAACUCAGGAGUGGAAAACCAAAUACUACAUGUUCUUAUUUAAAAGCGAGAGCUAAGCUAUGGGUAGGCAAAGGCAGGCAGAGUGGGAUCAUGGACGUUGGAGACUCAGAAGGGGGAAGAAUGGGAGGGGGUAGGGGAUGAAAAAUCACCUAUUGGGUACAAUGUAUACUGUACAAUGUGCACUAUUCCAGUGACUGAUGCACUAAAAGCCCAGACUUCACCACUAUACGCUUCAUCCACGUAACCCAAAACCGCAAGUACCCCUAAAGCUAUUGAAAUAAAAAUCUGGAUGAGCCAUGCCUACCCAGAAAACCUUAGUUUCUAUUCUCUUGCUGCAAUUGCACUGCCUCCUGCACCGCCCGCCCCCCCGUUGCCCCAGCCUCUGCACCUCUCAUUCUACUCUGCCUCAGUUUACCAUUCUCCUCUCAUCUAUCUCCCUCUCUUUUGAUCCCCUCAUUAUGGCUAGAGAAUGUAGGCUUCUGUUUCAUGUUUUAAGUGUUCUGAGAAAAGUUCCUCGAGCUGCUAGAAGGAAAGGCCUUCAAUAAAUUAAAUUUUCAGCAAGACAAUAAAUAAAAAAUGGGACAUUGGUCCAAGCACGGAAGAAUCUGAAAUACCAGUGAGGAGUCUGUUUGCACUGAUGCACAUGUGCUAGGGAUGAAGGAAGACACGAGUUUGCUUCCUGUAAAGCGUGUUCAGAAAUGCAAGCAAGGGCCGUAAAGAAAGUUUCUAAAAUGAACACCAAGACCCACAGCCUUCUAACACCAAGACCCACAGCCUUCUAGGCCUUGGUCCCUAAGGAUACAUCUCACUGCCU